UAGGGAAUAUUGGGCAAUGGAGGCAACUCUGACCCAGCAACGCCGCGUGAAUGAAGAAGGUUUUAGGAUUGUAAAGUUCUGUUCUUAGGGAAGAAUAAAAUGACGGUACCUAAGGAGAAAGCCCCGGCAAACUACGUGCCAGCAGCCGCGGUAAUACGUAGGGGGCAAGCGUUGUCCGGAAUAACUGGGCGUAAAGGGAGUGUAGGCGGUCUUUUAAGUUAAAUGUGAAAUCCUUGGGCUUAACCCAAGAACUGCAUUUAAUACUGGGAGACUAGAGUGCAGGAGAGGAGAGUGGAAUUCCAAGUGUAGCGGUAGAAUGCGUAGAUAUUUGGAGGAACAUCAGAGGCGAAGGCGGCUCUCUGGACUGUAACUGACGCUGAGACUCGAAAGCGUGGGGAGCAAACA
rnacentral:rRNA from 1 species